CCUACGGGAGGCAGCAGUGAGGAAUAUUGGUCAAUGGCCGAGAGGCUGAACCAGCCAAGUCGCGUGAGGGAAGACGGCCCUACGGGUUGUAAACCUCUUUUGUCGGGGAGCAAAGCGAGUCACGUGUGACUCAUUGAGAGUACCCUAAGAAAAAGCAUCGGCUAACUCCGUGCCAGCAGCCGCGGUAAUACGGAGGAUGCGAGCGUUAUCCGGAUUUAUUGGGUUUAAAGGGUGCGCAGGGGGAUGUGAAAGUCAGCGGUCAAAUUUCGGGGCUAAACCCAGUACUGCCGUUGAAACUGCAAGCCUUGAGUGCGCGAGAAGUAUGCGGAAUGCGUGGUGUAGCGGUGAAAUGCAUAGAUAUCACGCAGAACUCCGAUUGCGAAGGCAGCAGACCGGCGCGCAACUGACGCUGAGGCACGAAAGCGUGGGUAUCGAACAGGAUUAGAUACCCCAGUAGUC
rnacentral:rRNA from 1 species